AAAAAAAUAUUAUUUACAUCUUGGUGUUUCUAAGUUCUAACCUCUCAUUUAAUGUCCUUUUGUAGCACUAGCUACCUGGUAGAACCUCAAUUUUUCUCAUCACUUUGCUUAAUGUUUGGUCAUUAUUAGGUAGGUUGCAGGCGUUGAUUGGAACAAGGAUUCUGUGGUAGUGAUAGCGGUACUAUUUCUCAAGAUGAUUGAGAAGAUGUAGAAUGGGUACCAAGUUGCUGAUCCUGAUCUCCCAAGAAUCACAACUGAAUGUUGUUUUAGAGGGAAAAGCCAUCAGUUGACGGUUAACCUUGUCCGUUUGAUAUUUUUCAUCUCAUCAUCAUCCCUACGCAUGUGUGAUACUACUUUUUCCUUUUCUUCCAUUGA